rnacentral:rRNA from 1 species
ACUCCUACGGGAGGCAGCGGUCGGGAAUUUUGCGCAAUGGGGGAAACCCUGACGCAGCAAUACCGCGUGUGGGAUGAAGGCCUUCGGGUCGUAAACCACUUUUUUCGGGGACGAUAAUGACGGUACCCGAAGAAUAAGCCACGGCUAACUACGUGCCAGCAGCCGCGGUAAUAC